rnacentral:lncRNA from 1 species
CGGGGGAGUUCUCAGAAAUUCUGAAGAGGCAUGGAAAAGGCAAAUAAUGAGACCAGUCCUGUGUUUCUGUCCCGAAGCCAUACUCUCAGUGAGAAUGUUCCAGCAAGCUACUCAGCAUGCGAAGAAGAAUGCCGUUGGAACCAUUUGAUUUUUGGAAUGCUAUCAAUUUUAAUGCGAGUGGGCAAAGAGAACAAAAGAAAUGUAAUCAUACCUUGAACAAGAUCUUUGAUCACUUAAUUGAUGAAUUAAAGACUCAAAGGCCAUGCACCAGG